GACGAACGCUGGCGGCGUGCUUAACACAUGCAAGUCGAACGGAAAGGCCCUGCUUUUGUUGGGUGCUCGAUUGGCGAACGGGUCAGUAACACGUGAGUAACCUGCCCUUGACUUUGUGAUAACUUCAGGAAACUGGGGCUAAUACCGGAUAGGAUCUCCUGCUGCAUGGUGGGGGUUGGAAAGUUUCGGCGGUUGGGUAUGGACUCGCGGCUUAUCAGCUUGUUGGUGGGGUAGUGGCUUACCAAGGCUUUGACGGGUAGCCGGCCUGAGAGGGUGACCGGCCACAUUGGGACUGAGAUACGGACCAGACUCCUACGGGAGGCAGCAGUGGGGAAUAUUGCACAAUGGGCGGAAGCCUGAUGCAGCAACGCCGCGUGCGGGAUGACGGCCUUCGGGUUGUAAACCGCUUUCGCCUGUGACGAAGCGUGAGUGACGGUAAUGGGUAAAGAAGCACCGGCUAACUACGUG
rnacentral:rRNA from 1 species